UUCAGAACAGGAGUGCAUUCAGAAGCAUCCUCCGGCGAGGCUGGGAAGCUGCUCACAUCCCCGGAAAAUUCAGUGGGAGAAAAAGUUUAUGGAAGCGAGUAGGAGUUUAUUCAACAGUGUCUGAGCCCUUUCAGAACCAUGAGUUCACAAGGGCACGAAGUGCAGUAUAUAAAAAGAGGAUAAUGACUUGACUUGAGUGCAGGAAAAGGCCCAAUGAACAGAGCAGCCAAGCUUGCCCGGACGAGAAUAGAUGAAAGUUUGGAGAAGAGUCAAGAAGAAAUGGCAUUGUCUGCAUGGGAGAAAAUCGGUGCUGGAUUUUCUUUUUUAAUGCAUGCUGUUUUAAAAUUCCCCAAGGAAGUGGUCGUCUUUGUCCAAACCUGUGUCUGCGUUCUCUGGCUAAUUCUUACCCCAUAUUCCAUAUGGGAUUCUGCAUUCAAGAUUCUCUCAUGUGGUUCCAUGGCCAGAGGCUCAGGAGGAAAUGAGGUCCUUACUGAAGUCUAGGGGGAGCUGGAUUCAUCCUGGGGAGACUUUUCCUUGGUCUGCUAGGUACGGAGAGGAACAAAAGGAAAGUCAGCCAGCCUUCCUGUCUCACAGAACAAAGAUCAUAAUACCUGCUGUUUCAUAAGCCCAAUCACAGCCCCACAGUUGGUGAUAGCCAGAAAUAAGACGAUAUUCACAGAAAACAAAGGAGGAAUACAGAUUAACUCUGUGGGGCAGUGUCUCCCUGGACUGAGAUUGGAAACCUCUCACAUGAAACUUCGAGCAGGACCAAGGGCACACCCUGGGCAGGGGUGAAGAGAGAUAUCAUGCCAAACUAUAUGUGAUCUGUAAACUUUCUACCCUUUAAAAACUUUCUAAUUUUAAGAGGAAAUUUGUAAACAGUAAAAUAAUGACAACAAACAUCAGAGACAUACC
rnacentral:lncRNA from 1 species